rnacentral:rRNA from 1 species
CCUACGGGAGGCAGCAGUGGGGAAUCUUGCGCAAUGGGCGAAAGCCUGACGCAGCCAUGCCGCGUGAAUGAUGAAGGUCUUAGGAUUGUAAAAUUCUUUCAGCAGGGACGAUAAUGACGGUACCUGCAGAAGAAGCCCCGGCUAACUUCGUGCCAGCAGCCGCGGUAAUACGAAGGGGGCUAGCGUUGCUCGGAAUUACUGGGCGUAAAGGGAGCGUAGGCGGGUUAUCAAGUUGGAGGUGAAAGCCCAGGGCUCAACCUUGGAAUUGCCUUCAAAACUGAUAGCCUAGAGUAUGAUAGAGGUAUGUGGAACUCCGAGUGUAGAGGUGAAAUUCGUAGAUAUUCGGAAGAACACCAGUGGCGAAGGCGACAUACUGGGUCAUGACUGACGCUGAGGCUCGAAAGCGUGGGGAGCAAACAGGAUUAGAUACCCUGGUAGUCCACGCUGUAAACGAUGAUUGCUAGUUGUUGGCCAGCNUGCUGUCGGUGCGCNGCUACGCAUAAGACAUCCGCCGUCGGGAGGUACGGUCGCGAGAGUAAACGUACGAAGAAGUUAGAGGCGUGAGAGUGCGACGGACGACGACGAGGGAGGAGG